CAGAAUGCCGAACCUACAGAAGCGUCUUCCUCUCCAGCUGCGCCACACUACACUGCUGACAUGCUGCCAUUCUUAUUUGCACUGGGUGUGCUGUUUACACUCAGUACUGGAUCUGAAUCAGCUGCUCCUGUAGUGAAGGUGGAGUAUGGAGGUACUGCUGUUCUGCACUGUACUGAUAAAUG